rnacentral:tRNA from 1 species
UGAGGAGUGGCCAAGUUGGUAAGGCGCCUGACUUUGGAUCAGGAAAUCGUAGGUUCGAGUCCUACCUCCUCAG